GUGUCAGCCGCCGCGGUAAGACAGAGGAGCCAAGCGUUGUCCGGAUUGACUGGGCGUAAAGCGUCCGCAGGCGGCUGGGCACGUGGGGUGUGAAACCGCUCGGCUUAACCGAGCGCCGCCACCUCAUACGGCCCGGCUCGAGCGCGGGAGAGGUCUGUGGAAUUGCCGGUGUAGUGGUGAAAUGCGUAGAGAUCGGCAGGAACACCAAGGGCGAAAGCAGCAGACUGGCCCGUGGCUGACGCUCAGGGACGAAAGCGUGGGGAGCGAACUGGAUUAGAUACCCCCGUAGUCC
rnacentral:rRNA from 1 species